rnacentral:rRNA from 1 species
AACGAACGCUGGCGGCAGGCUUAACACAUGCAAGUCGAGCGCCCCGCAAGGGGAGCGGCAGACGGGUGAGUAACGCGUGGGAACCUACCCAUCUCUACGGAAUAACGCAUGGAAACGUGGGCUAAUACCGUAUACGUCCCUCGGGAGAAAGAUUUAUCGGAGAUGGAUGAGCCCGGGUUGGAUUAGCUAGUUGGUGGGGUAAAGGCCUACCAAGGCGACGAUCCAUAGCUGGUCUGAGAGGAUGAUCAGCCACACUUGGACUGAGACACGGCCCAGACUCCUACGGGAGGCAGCAGUGGGGAAUAUUGGACAAUGGGCGCAAGCCUGAUCCGGCCAUGCCGCGUGAGUGAUGAAGGCCCUAGGGUUGUAAAGCUCUUUCACCGGUGAAGAUAAUGACGGUAACCGGAGAAGAAGCCCCGGCUAACUUCGUGCCAGCCGCCGCAGUAAAAC